GAGUUUGAUCGUGGCUCAGAGCGAACAUUGGCGGUAGGCUUAACACAUGCAAGUCGAGCGAGGCUUCGAGCCGAGCGGCGAACGGGUGAGUAACACGUAGGUCAUCUUCCCCUGAAUGGUGGAUAACUCUCCGAAAGGAAAGCUAAUACAGCAUAAGACCACGACCUCGCUGAGGUUGCGGCCAAAGCAGACCUCUUCAUGAAAGUUUGCGUUUAGGGAUGAGCCUGCGGCCCAUCAGCUAGUUGGUAGGGUAACGGCCUACCAAGGCUAAGACGGGUAGCUGGUCUGAGAGGAUGAACAGCCACACUGGAACUGAGACACGGUCCAGACUCCUACGGGAGGCAGCAGUGGGGAAUCUUGCGCAAUGGGCGAAAGCCUGACGCAGCGACGCCGCGUGAGCGAUGAAGGCCUUCGGUUGUAAG
rnacentral:rRNA from 1 species